UACGUAGGGUCCGAGCGUUGUCCGGAAUUAUUGGGCGUAAAGGGCUCGUAGGCGGUUUGGCGCGUCGGGUGUGAAAACUCAGGGCUCAACCCUGAGCGUGCUUACGAUACGGGCAAACUAGAGGUAUGCAGGGGAGAGCGGAAUUCCUGGUGUAGCGGUGGAAUGCGCAGAUAUCAGGAGGAACACCGGUGGCGAAGGCGGUUCUCUGGGCAUGAACUGACGCUGAGGAGCGAAAGCAUGGGGAGCAAACAGG
rnacentral:rRNA from 1 species